rnacentral:rRNA from 1 species
GCGGAGGAAAAGAAAAUAACAAUGAUUUCCCUAGUAACGGCGAGUGAAGAGGAAAGAGCUCAAAGUUGGAACCUGUUUGGCUUAGCUAAACCGGAUUGUAAACUGUAGAAACAUUUUCCAGAUACACUAGACAAAAAAGUCCUUUGGAACAGGGCAUCAUAGAGGGUGAGAAUCCCGUCUUUGGUCUAAGUAGUUGUCUAUUGUGAUAUGUUUUCAAAGAGUCAGGUUGUUUGGGAAUGCAGCCUAAAUUGGGUGGUAAAUCUCACCUAAAGCUAAAUAUUUGCGAGAGACCGAUAGCGAACAAGUACCGUGAGGGAAAGAUGAAAAGAACUUUGAAAAGAGAGUUAAACAGUAUGUGAAAUUGUUAAAAGGGAACCGUUUGGAGCCAGAUUGGCUUGAUUGUAAUCAACCUAGAAUUCGUUUUGGGUGCACUUGCAGUCUAUGCCUGCCAACGACAGUUUGAUUUGGAGGAAAAAAUUAAUAGGAAUGUGGCCUUUCGAGGUGUUAUAGCUUAUUAUCAUACUCUGGAUUGGACUGAGGAACGCAGUGAAUGCCUUUAGGCAAGAUUGCUGGGCGCUUUCGCUAAUAAAUGUUAGAAUUUCUGCUUCGGGUGGUGUUAAUGUUUAAAGGAGGAACUCGUUUAGUAUAUUUUUUAUUCGCUUAGGUUGUUGGCUUAAUGACUCUAAAUGAC